rnacentral:rRNA from 1 species
GAUGAACGCUGGCGGCGUGCCUAAUACAUGCAAGUCGAGCGAACAGAUCAGGAGCUUGCUCCUCUGACGUUAGCGGCGAACGGGUGAGUAACACGUGGAUAACCUACCUAUAAGACUGGGAUAACUUCGGGAAACCGGAGCUAAUACCGGAUACUCUAUUGAACCGCAUGGUUCAAUAGUGGAAGAAGGUUGUUCUUCCACUUGUAGAUGGUUCCGCGGCGGAGUACCAGGUUGGUAGGGUGACGGUUUACUAAGGCAACGAUGAGUAGCCGACGUGAGAGGGAGAAGGGCCACGCUGGCACUGAGACACGGUCCCGACUCCUACGGGAGGCAGCAGUAGCGAAUCUUCAGAAAUGAGCGAAAGCGUGACGGAGCAACGCCGCGUGAGUGAUGAAGGUCUUCGGAUCGUAAAACUAUGUUAUUAGGGAAGAACAAAUGUGUAAGUAGCUAUGAACGUCUUGACGGUACCUGAUCAGAAAGCCACGGCUAACUACGUG